GGGACAGCCGGGCCAGGGGGCGCGGUAGUACGUGGGGGGCUGGCGGUGUCCGGAUUUAUUGGGCGUAUAGGUCGUGUAGGCGGCCUGACAGGUCUGCUGGGAAAACUCGAGGCUCAACCUCGAGAUGUCGGCGGAAACCGUCUGGCUAGAGUCCGGAAGAGGAGAGUGGAAUUCCUGGUGUAGCGGUGAAAUGCGCAGAUAUCAGGAAGAACACCUAUGGCGAAGGCAGCUCUCUGGGACGGUACUGACGCUGAGACGCGAAAGCGUGGGGAGCGAACAGGAUUAGAUACCCCUGUAGUC
rnacentral:rRNA from 1 species